ACACUUUACAAUGCGGGAAACCGCGAUAAGGGAACCCCGAGUGCCAGCAUCAAAUGUUGGCUGUCCAGAUGAUUAAAAAUCAUUUGUUAGCAAGGGCCGGGCAAGACCGGUGCCAGCCGCCGCGGUAACACCGGCGGCCCGAGUGGUAGCCGUUUUUAUUGGGUCUAAAGGGUCCGUAGCCGGCCUGAUAAGUCCUUUGGGAAAUCUGGCAGCUUAACUGUCAGGCUUCUAAGGGAUACUGUCAGGCUUGGGACCGGAAGAGGUAAGGGGUACUCCAGGGGUAGGAGUGAAAUCUUGUAAUCCCUGGGGGACCAUCUGUGGCGAAGGCGCCUUACCAGAACGGGUCCGACGGUGAGGGACGAAAGCUAGGGGAGCAAACCGGAUUAGAUACCCGGGUAGUCCUAGCUGUAAACGAUGCUCGCUAGGUGUCAGACACGGUGCGACCGUGUUUGGUGCCGCAGGGAAGCCGUUAAGCGAGCCACCUGGAGUACGUCGCAAGGC
rnacentral:rRNA from 1 species